rnacentral:rRNA from 1 species
GCGGACGGGUGAGUAACGCGUGAAGAACUUGCCCUUAGGAUAGGGAUAACAAGGUGAAAACCUUGCUAAUACCUAAUAUACUAUUUAAACGGCAUCGUAUAAAUAGGAAACAGACGGCCUAAGGAGAGCUUCGCGUCCCAUUAGCUAGUUGGUAGAGUAGAAGCCUACCAAGGCAACGAUGGGUAGCCGGCCUUAACGGGUGAACGGCCACAAGGGAACUGAGACACGGUCCUUACUCC